CGACAAGCAGCACCGACGAACUACCAUGCAAGCCUCACACUACCUCCAUCAAUUUCCAUGGACCUUACAUUCUCGUCACUGUCUUACACCACCACCAUCGUCUACCGUCAGAAUCCGUCGUCUACCAUCCAUCACUGCCGUGGCUGCUCCACCAACACUAUUAAAGCACCAGAAGACCCACUCUAUGCCACCAGAGAAAGUAGAGAUAUUCAGUUCGCUAGAGAAUUGGGCCACACAAAAUGUGCUGCCGUUUCUUAAACCAGUAGAUCUGUGCUGGCAGCCGCAGAACUUCCUUCCUGACCCCGCAAUACCAUUCGACGAUUUUACCGAUCAGGUCCGGGCGCUACGUAAUCGGACGUCCGAGAUGCCUGAUGAGUACUUCAUAGUGCUGGUGGGUGAUAUGAUCACUGAGGAAGCACUGCCUACGUAUCAGACCAUGAUUAACACGCUGGACGGCGUUAGGGACGAGACCGGAGCCAGCCAGAACCCAUGGGCCAUGUGGACCCGGGCCUGGACCGCUGAGGAGAACCGGCAUGGUGAUCUGCUUAAGAAUUACUUGUAUUUGUCGGGUCGGGUUGAUAUGCUCAUGAUUGAGAAGACGGUGCAGUAUUUGAUUGGAGCUGGCAUGGUGAUUUUUCUUUUUUAAAUAAAUAUUUUUAUAAUUGAGAUUAUAAUUAGGGAUUCAUAGGUAAUUAAGAAGUGUGGUUAACGUGCAGGACCCUGGAACAGAAAACAACCCCUACUUGGGCUUCGUGUACACGUCCUUUCAAGAGCGAGCCACAUUCGUAUCGCACGGCAAUACGGCGCGUUUAGCUAAGGAAGGCGGUGAUCCAGUACUGGCGCGCAUAUGCGGGACCAUCGCAGCAGACGAGAAGCGCCACGAGAACGCCUACACCAGGAUCGUAGGAAAGCUCCUUGAGGUGGACCCCAAUGUUGCAAUGCUAGCGAUAGCCGAUAUGAUGCGAAAGAAAAUCACGAUGCCGGCCCACUUGAUGUAUGAUGGGCAGGAUCCACAUCUCUUCGAACACUUCUCGGCGGUGGCCCAGCGGAUGGGAGUAUAUACCGCUGAUGAUUACGCAGAUAUUUUGGAGUUCUUGAUCGGACGGUGGGCAUUGGAGAAGUUGGAAGGGUUGACGGGGGAGGGGAGACGUGCACAAGACUUCGUGUGCGGUUUAGCACCUAGGAUUAGAAAGCUGCAGGAGAGAGCCGAUGAGAAGGCGAAGAAGAUGAGGCCACAAGGCGUGAAAUUUAGCUGGAUUUUCAAUAGGGAGGUACCCUUGUGAAAUCUGUGGGAC
rnacentral:misc_RNA from 1 species